GAUGAACGCUAGCGACAGGCCUAACACAUGCAAGUCGAGGGGCAGCAUAGAGGUAGCAAUACUUUGGUGGCGACCGGCGCACGGGUGAGUAACACGUAUGCAACCUACCUGUAAGAGGGGAAUAACCCGGAGAAAUUCGGACUAAUACCGCAUAAAACCACGAAUUCGCAUGGAUUUGUGUUUAAACAUUUAUGGCUUACAGAUGGGCAUGCGUAUGAUUAGCUAGUUGGUAGGGUAACGGCCUACCAAGGCAACGAUCAUUAGGGGUUCUGAGAGGAAGGUCCCCCACACUGGUACUGAGACACGGACCAGACUCCUACGGGAGGCAGCAGUGAGGAAUAUUGGUCAAUGGGCGAGAGCCUGAACCAGCCAAGUCGCGUGAAGGAAGAAGGUUCUAUGGAUUGUAAACUUCUUUUGUAAGGGAAUAAAAAGAGUUACGUGUAACUUAUUGUAUGUACUUUACGAAUAAGGAUCGGCUAACUCCGUGCCAGCAGCCGCGGUAAAAC
rnacentral:rRNA from 1 species